rnacentral:ncRNA from 1 species
GUGGGAACGGCACGGCUGCAAAUCUGACCCGUCGUGCGGCUUCGCACGACUCCGAGAUUGCAGUAGUGC